rnacentral:tRNA from 1 species
GGGAAGGUGGCUCAGUGGUAGAAUGCUUGCCUUGCAUGCAUGAGGCCCUGGGUUCGAUUCCUCAGCCCCA